rnacentral:ncRNA from 1 species
CCGGGCGGGGAGAGGUGAAAUUUUGUGAUCCGCUCGGGACGACUCGAAGCGAAAGCGCUGGCCCCGGACGUCUUCCUUAAUCCAGAACGAAGGUGGGUGGAGCAAAGACGAUCAGAUACCGUCGUAGUACCGACGGUAAACGCUGCCGACCGGGCCGCGGACGAGGCUCGAGAACAGCGGUUAUGGACCCGUCCGUGGCGGCUUCGGGCAACCUGAGAGUUUACGGGUUCCGGGGGUAGUAUGGUCGCAAGGCUGAAACUUGAAGGAAUUGACGGAAGGGCACCACAAGGAGUGGAGCCUGCGGCUUAAUUUGACUCAACACGGGGCAACUUACCCGGUCCGGACAUCGUCAGGAUUGACAGACGCUCGUGCAGUUCUUUCUCGAUUCGAUGGGUGGUGGUGCAUGGCCGUUCGUGGCUGGUGAAGUGAAAAGUCUGGUUUAUUCCGCUAACGGGCGAGGCCUCGCCCUUAACUAGUCGGCUCGUGGUUCUCGAAUCGUAGUCUCCCUUCGGGGAGCAGGGAGAACAUCGGGCGAGUCGCAGCGAUCGUCGCUACUUCUUAGGGGGAUCCCGAGCAAGCUUAAGCUAGGUGAGAGAGAUCAAUAACAGGUCAGUGAUGCCCUUAGAUGUCCGGGGCCGCACGCGCGCUACACUGAAGACGAAAGCGCGAGUGCCUACGGUCUUGGUUUGGUCAGGCCGGGAACCCGCCCCGAGAGGGGAGGUUGGGGCUGUUCCUUCACGGGGGCAGUCUCGCCUACUGCGGGUUAACCGUGCNCAUCGUCUUCGUGCUGGGGAUCGGGG